AUGGGGAGCCCGCCCCUCAGAAGGCCGGGAGCCCCGCCCCUGGGCCGUACCUUGCUGGUUGCCUGCUGUGGAGUGGCCGGCUCCACCUGGAAGGGGACAAGCGCACAGUCACAUGGUAUUCGGAAGAGCUGGUCACGGGCUGCCUACUGCUGGGAGGCGGGCAUUACACGUCCAAGCAGGGGAGGGGACGGGGGUGAGGCUGUCACCUCAGGGUGUAGGGAUACACACAAAGGCGUACACAAGAAGCAUGCACACACACCCAUAUACACACACGCGCACAUACACACCCACACCCACACCCAUAUACACAUAUGCACACACACCCAUAUACACACAUGCACACACACACCCAUAUACACACGCGCGCACACACACCCAUAUACACACAUGCACACACACACACCCAUAUACACACAUGCACACACACACACCCAUAUACACACAUGCACACACACACACCCAUAUACACAUACGCACACACACACUCAUAUACACACACGCACACACACACACCCAUAUACACACACGCGCACACACACCCAUAUACACACAUGCACACACACGCACACACCCACCCCCAUAUACACACACGCGCACCCACACACCCACCCCCAUAUACACACACGUGCACACACACACACACACCCAUAUACACACACGCGCACACACACACCCAUAUACACACACGCACACACACACACCCAUAUACACACACGCGCACACACACCGAUAUACACACAUGCACACACACCCACACACCCACCCCCAUAUACACACACGCGCACACACACACACACACCCAUAUACACACAUGCACACACACACACACCCAUAUACACACACACGCACACACACACACCCAUAUACACACACGCGCACACACACACACCCAUAUACACACACGCGCACACACACACCCAUAUACACACACGCACACACACCCACCCCCAUAUACACACACGCGCACACACAGAUAUACACACAUGCACACACACCCCCAUAUACACACACGUGCACACACACACACACCCAUAUACACACAUGUGCGCACACAUAUCACACACACACAAUACACACCCAUAUACACAUAUGCGCACAAACAUCACCCCCACACACAAUAUCCCCCACACACAACACACACCCAUAUACACGUGUGCACAAACAUCCCCACACAUACACCCAUAUACACACAUGCACACACACACAACAUCCCACACACACAACACACACCCAUAUACAUGUGUGUUCAUACAUGCAAUACACAUACAUCCCAUACACACACACAACGCAUUGACACACCCAUAUGCACGAAUGUACAUACAUGCAACACCACACACAACACACACCCAUAUACACACAUGCACACAUAUCCCACAUACAACACACACUUAUACACACAUGCACACACCACACCCAUAUACACACAUGUACAUACACUCAACACACACAACACCCCACAACACACAUCCAUACACAUACACACAGCCCACACACAUGAACAUACAUGCAACCCCCCCACACAUACAUGCACACACACAAAACACACCACCACACAUGCAACAACCCACAUACAUACAGACACGCACAUACAACACACGGACACACCCAUAUGCAUACAUGCACAUCUGCGUAUACACAUAUGCACACAUGUACAACACAAGCACACGUCCACACACACACAUCGGCACAGCCGUGUGUGCACACAGGCAGGCGUGCACACUAGCAUCACAGGCACUGUGCCUGUGUGGACAUGACCGUGGACACACACGUGCAUAUCUCCACAUGUGUGUGCGCAGUACACGCCCGCACAUGUACACAUGA
rnacentral:lncRNA from 1 species